UAUCGACUGCCCUAGCAGACUUGCCAAGACGAUAGGUUUUUUUCCUUUAGGAGGAAAUUAUG
rnacentral:ncRNA from 1 species